AGUCACGUGGUCUAGUUGGUUAGGACGUCUGCUUUACACGCAGAAGAUCGCGAGUUCAACUCUCGCCGUGACUA
rnacentral:tRNA from 1 species